AACGAACGCUGGCGGCAUGCCUAACACAUGCAAGUCGAACGAGACCUUCGGGUCUAGUGGCGCACGGGUGCGUAACGCGUGGGAACCUGCCCUUAGGUUCGGAAUAACUCCCCGAAAGGGGUGCUAAUACCGGAUAAUGUCUUCGGACCAAAGAUUUAUCGCCUUUGGAUGGGCCCGGGUUGGAUUAGCUGGUUGGUAGGGUAAAAGCCUACCAAGGCGACGUUCCAUAGCUGGUCUGAGAGGAUGAUCAGCCACACUGGGGAUGAGACACGGCCCAGAAUCCUACGCGAGGGGGCAGUGGAGAAUAUAGGACAAUGGGGGAAAGCCUGACCCCGCAAUGCCGGGUGAGUGAUGAAGGCCUUAGGGUUGUAAAGCUCUUUUACCCGGGACGAUAAUGACAGUACCGGGAGAAUAAGCUCCGGCUAACUACGUG
rnacentral:rRNA from 1 species